ensembl:lncRNA
GGUCCAUGUCAGAUGUGGCCAUGGGAACGCAGUGCAAUCACAUCAGCCUUGUUCUUGCAGCACCUGGUGUACGGACUUAGCCAUAUGCUUUCCUGGAACAAAUACAUUGUAAACCCUUUCCUCAUUUAACUUUCUCCCACUGCAAAACCAGACGGACAGCAUGAACAGUUUGUUGUGGCAACACAAGUAUCUCUCUUCCUGGUGGAGAACUUUGCUUAUCCACUGUAUUCUAUUCAGUGUGGUGUCAGAAGAAAAAAAAAGUAAGCACUGAACCAGUAACCUAUACUGCACCUGGUCUAGUAUUACAUUUUUAACCUUACUUGUAUAUCCUAUAUUUAUCUACUAGCUUGUGGGAGGGGAGGGAUAUCUCAUUUCAUUUAAGCCAAAUGUUUCUACUUAACUGCUGGUCAUACAUGCUAACAGGCAAGAAUUUGUCUUGCUUGUGACUGCUCUGCAAGCAGCAACUGCUCUCUACAGUUCGGAGACUUCCAUAUUUUUCACCAAAAUUUGUCUGUUGGAGGGCUAUCCUUUUAUGUUAGUCACUGUUUAGCCAAGUAUACAACUGGAGACGUGAUGUAUACAAAACAGAACUGCAGCAUGCCCAGCUCUCAGAACACUUCUGCUCUGGUGUGUUGCAUAUUGAGCAUUUAAGGUAGCGUGGCAAAAUGCGACAGCAUUGACAGCUCCUUCUCAUUGCUUAGGCAGAAGGGAUUUUUCCAGGUGUUAAAGAGCUGUGUGAGAUGAGAGUUUAAAACUUCUGGGGAGGGGGAGGCAAUGGAUGUGUUUCAGCAGCAGCAGACUUUGCUAAAGCAGUGGAAAGCGUAACACUUUGGUGUUCAACAGCCUCCCGCGUGUUUCAUUGCUGAUGUGUCUGUGUCUUACUGAUGAGGUAAUCGGCACCUUGAAAAUUGAUUCCAAUGUGCUUUAGGAUAUCCUCAAGUACUGUAGUGCCAUAGUUGUAAUUGUUUACCAUUAAAAUUGUGUGUAUUUUCCAGUGGGGAUCACUGACUGUGCUCAUCUUGUGUGUUAUUGGAGCAUUUCCAGGAUGAACUGAAUUAUAUCUCAUUCACAACAGUGUUUAUGGAAAAUGUGCCAUUAAAGUGUCUCUUUUUCCGUAGGCAGUGAAACUUUUCUCUUGUCCUUCUGCAGGCUUUCAGAGUAUCAUCAGUGUUUAUCAAUUUGAGCAGGGAUGGCAGAGUAUUUUAACUUGGGAGAAAAACGGAAUUAAGAAAGAACCUUUCAGUGCUCUCACUGUUUACCACCUCUAUCAGAACCUGGUAUUUAAACCUGAAGAGGACCCAGCUGUAGCAGGUCUUGUCAUAGAACAGCUGUUAUAAUGGGUCAGACCAUAGUGUGUACCCUCUGUGUGCUUUAAGAGUCCAUCCCAGCAAUAGUAACUUUAUAAUCCGAGUUUGCUAGUUUGCUCAUGUUUUUCCUUAAAAUAAUAUUCCUGUGUUUAUUACAACUCUGGAGUAGCCUCAACUAUUUUAACCUUUCCAGAAGCAAAGGUAAGUUCUGAAAACAAGGUAGGGAGAGACGAGUUUGAAAAACUAGUAUGAGUACACGGAGCAAUCCCCAGCAUCAUACCACAUAAGCUGCUAUUUUCCAGUGACUGGCUUACCUGGUAUGUGAUAUCAUCUACUCUUGUUUUUUAUGUGUCUUGAUAAAGUCUUGAUGCUACUGGCCAUAGCCUGUUUUCUGAGCAUGGGAAUGAAGCAGGACUACCCUUGUAAUUCCAAGGAAAAUGCUUAAUUACAAAGGAUAUGAAGCCAGAAAGGCAAUCAUUAAGCUCAACUGAACAUUUACAGAAGAAAAUUACUAACUUUAAAGAACUGUACUGGUCCCACUAGUUAUUUUCUUUGAGCUGCUGUGGUCAAGGAAUAUGCAUUACUCAUGCAGUGACCAGAAGUUAACAACAUUGCUGCAGACCAAAUAGAUUUUUCUCUUGUUUUGUCAGAGUUCAGUUUCAAACUGCUAUUGCAGACUGAGAAGUAGAAGUUCAACUUUGGUUCCGUUUAACCCUGUCAUACUGAGACAAAUCCAGUUAAAAUACACAGGUACAGAAAAUUUCCCAGGUACAAAAAGGUGCAGGUUCCUGGGAAAAAAAAGUCCUUCAGAGGCUGUUUUGCUCUGCACACUUAGAAGUGAGUUAAUAAUAUCAGUGCAGCCUUAGAGUAAUUAAUGGAAAAGGAUAUGGUUAUCAUAUGCUGUAAAAACUAACUUUGGAACAUGAGAGGCUGGCAGGGCUGCCCCUUACUGCAGUACUACCCUCUGCCCCUUCCCAUUCAUUAACACAGCCCAAGCUCUUUGCUAAGUAACAGACCUGCC